UCCCAGUUAGUACAACGGUCAGUAUAUGUCGCUUUCAUGUGCAUGAGCCAGUGAGGCGCCGACAAGACCCGGGUUCGACUCCCGGAUUGGGAA